ACAGUGUGGCAAAAGCAUAAAUAUCUAGAAAAUAGAGGUUCAAAACAUGAAGACAGAAAAGUUAGUUUGGUCUACUCGUUGAGCUCGUUCAUUGUAAACUUCAUUUUCCUAUUUUCUCUCUUUUUCUCCCUCUUACCCCGCUUCUACAAAUUAGAUAGUAGGGCUUCUCCCAUUCGCCGCGCUCGUAACCACCGCUAUUUUACGCCCCCGGAGGUUACUCUCUUAACCUACUUCCCCCUUUUCAAUUCAAACCCUAAUUCACAUCACACUAACCCUAAUUGGACAAAGAAAGAUCGAUCGAUCCUCGAUCGAUCAAAAUCGAAGCAUUGA